rnacentral:rRNA from 1 species
GACGAACGCUGACGGCGUGCUUUAGACAUGCAAGUCGAACGAGAAAGCCCUUCGGGGUUAGUAAAGUGGCGAACGGGUGAGUAACACGUGGGCAAUCUGCCCUUCGUUGGGGGACAACCGGGGGAAACCCCGGCUAAUACCCCGUAAGCUUGUCGGGUCGCAUGGCCUGACAAGGAGAGGUAGCUUCGGCCAUCCGGCGAAGGAGGAGCCCGCGGUACAUUAGCUAGUUGGUGAGGUAAAGGCCCACCAAGGCGACGAUGUAUAGCUGGUCUGAGAGGAUGAUCAGCCGCACUGGGACUGAGACACGGCCCAGACUCCUACGGGAGGCAGCAGUCGGGAAUCUUGCACAAUGGGCGAAAGCCUGAUGCAGCAACGCCGUGUGAGCGACGAAGGCCCUAGGAUCGUAAAGCUCUGUUGUUAGGGACGAAGGGCGAAGGGUUAAUAGCCCUUAGCCUGACGGUACCUUUCGAGGAAGCCCCGGCUAACUACGUGCCAGCAGCCGCCGUAAAAC